AUUUGAAGAUCACAGUGCUUGAGAAAGUGUAGAUCCAACAUCCAAACAUAGUUGCCAUUGGGAAGGAACUGCCUUUAGCUUCUGUGAACAGAGGAGUCUCUUCUGAGGUAGGGAUGGGAGUUCAGGACUCUGAGAAGAUAACAUGUCAUAAUUUCCACUGGGUUCUCUGUUGAAAUGUUUCUUUCUUACAAGCUGAGGCAAAUCACUUCCCCUCUCUGAAUUUCAGUGUCCUCAUCUCUCGAGUGAAGAGAAUGAUAAUGUGGUCCCAGGAGC
rnacentral:lncRNA from 1 species